GUCCGGCCAGACUGUAGCAUGACUCCAGAUUUCAUGGCAAUGAGGUUGGUUGUCGAUUUUCCUCUGAUGUGCACAUCACUACCCUCUGUGCUGCUUUCCCUCAGCACCAGACUGGAUACUUUCUGCCAGUUCCACCACAGUGAAGGCCCUCCAUCUCUGAUGCUGUCCAGGGCUUCCUUCAUCAUGCCAGUAGCUUCCUCUCCAUUUUCACUACGUCAGUCACACAAGUCCUGAGUGGAGACUGAAGAAUACCAUCGCACUCAGAUGCAGAAGGAUUCUUCAUUACUGUUUCUGUAACAGUUUUGUUUUACUAGUCAAGGUUGUUUGCCCUGAGCUGAACCCCCGAACUUGGAGGACUGGUGGACCACGCUUAGUCUGGCCUCUAACCUUUGACCUGUUUGACCCUACCAUAAAGCCCUGAUUCCAGCAUUGCUCUCCGGGUCGUUGAGGCAUGCAAGCCUCCAAACACAAUGGCAAGCUUGUGGUCUCCUAGGAGGACCAAUCUGGAUGGUAAAAUGGAUUUUGUUCUUCAUUUCUCUGGAGUUGAACUACGGAUACCUCAAACUUCUAACUCAAAUGUUAAAUUUCAACAUAGUGAGCUUCAGAUAACAGCAGGAGUUCGCAUUAGCAGAUAAGAAAAGGGAUAAUGGAGGGAUCAAAUCUCAAAGAAAGAAAACAAUCAAGCACACAGCAGCUUUAUGUCGAUACCUCCAACUGGUUCUCAGGAGAUCUGUAGAUGCUCCCAGUGCAUCCUUGGUACAGGCAUUUGGAGAAAGCAGUGAUGAACACAAGGAUGUAGUUGUCGUCAGCUAAGCCAGCAUUUAUUGCCCAUCCCUGGUUGCCCUUGAGAAGGUGGUGAUGAGCUGCCUUCUUGAACCGCUGUAGUCCCUGAGAUGGAGGAACACCCACACCUACAUAUACCGGCAAUAUUAAACCUGAUUCUGAUUCAUAUUCCCCCGUGACCACCGGCUCCUAAAUGCUUAGCUUUCCUGCCAUAUUCCAAGUAUAUGCUGGUAAGACAAGUUAGUUACUUCUGAGCAUUCCCCCAAGUGCAGAUGGGUGGCAGAAGAACUGGGAGCAUUAGUAAGCACAUGAUUCUGAAUCAGAUUCUCAGAUGUCCUCUAGAGCUCCAUGUACUGUAAAACCAAUACCAGCCUUUUCAUUUCCAGAUCAUUUUAUUCAAGUUUUUAAAUUGCGUUAGUGAAAUUCUGUGGGAAGUUGCUUAUUCUAAAUACAAGUUAAUCUAAAUCAUAUAUUUUCUUAGUGAUUAAAUGGGCCGCUGAGGAUGUUUACAUGAUUAAUGUUUUCAACAGUGAUUAAACGGAGAUGUUGCACCCACCAGCUGUUUAGCUUGUUGAACUGUAAAAUGAAGUAGGAAACAUUCAAGGAAUGCAGCACUAAAGCCAACUCAUGUAAUACUAUCUCCUGGAGGGCAGUUGAGAUUUAAUCUGGUAAAAAGAUAUAUUAAAUAAAGCUAAUUGUAAUGACCUGCUGGUUAUGUUAUACCAUGUUCUGACGUGCGAUCAAAUUAAAAUCAAUUGGAACACUGAAUUGUGUGAUUCCUGACCAUUUUGUUUCUCCAUUUCGUAGCAAAGUUACCAACUAGAUAUCUUGUAAAGAGUAGUUAACUGCUAAAUUAAUCUAUUUUUAGUAAAUUCUUCUAACAAAGUAUAGAGAUGAAACUAGUGACACUUAUUAGCAAAAAGGUGACAAUUAUCUCAGAGUCAAUAGCUGAGUAAUAGAUUCAAUUCUAAACUGAAGACUAUAUUAUGUAGAUUUAACACUACAAUUGAACCCAUGAAAACUACCUCACUACCUUUUUAUUUCCAUUUUAUUUUUAUUUCUAUCUAUUAUAUAUACUAUAUAUUAUAUAAUUAUAAAUAGUUAGAUAUGCCAAUGAUAUUAAAUCUGAU